rnacentral:tRNA from 1 species
GCUCCUAUAGUUAAAUGGAUAGAACAAUCCCCUCCUAAGGGAUAGAUACAGGUUCGAUUCCUGUUGGGAGUA